rnacentral:rRNA from 1 species
CCUACGGGUUGCACCAGUAGGGAAUCUUCCGCAAUGGACGAAAGUCUGACGGAGCAACGCCGCGUGAGUGAUGAAGGCUUUCGGGUCGUAAAACUCUGUUGUUAGGGAAGAACAAGUGCUAGUUGAAUAAGCUGGCACCUUGACGGUACCUAACCAGAAAGCCACGGCUAACUACGUGCCAGCUGCCGCGGUAAUACGUAGGUGGCAAGCGUUAUCCGGAAUUAUUGGGCGUAAAGCGCGCGCAGGUGGUUUCUUAAGUCUGAUGUGAAAGCCCACGGCUCAACCGUGGAGGGUCAUUGGAAACUGGGAGACUUGAGUGCAGAAGAGGUAAGUGGAAUUCCGAGUGUAGAGGUGAAAUUCGUAGAUAUUCGGAGGAACACCAGUGGCGAAGGCGGCUUACUGGUCUGCAACUGACGCUGAGGCGCGAAAGCGUGGGGAGCAAACAGGAUUAGAUACCCCCGUAGUC